GAUGAACGCUGGCGGCGUGCUUAACACAUGCGAGUCGAGCGAGUGAGUUCUUCGGAACGAUCUAGCGGCGGACGGGUGAGUAACACGUGGGCAACCUGCCUCAUAGAGGGGAAUAGCCUCCCGAAAGGGAGAUUAAUACCGCAUAAAAUUAUCGAGUGGCAUCACAUGAUAAUCAAAGGAGUAAUCCGCUAUGAGAUGGGCCCGCGGCGCAUUAGGUAGUUGGGGAGGUAACGGCUCACCAAGGCGACGAUGCGUAGCCGACCUGAGAGGGUGAUCGGCCACAUUGGGACGGAGACACGGCCCAGACUCCUACGGGAGGCAGCAGUGGGAAAUAGUGCACAAUGGGGGAAACCCUGAUGCAGCAACGCCGCGUGAGUGAUGAAGGUCUUCGGAUUGUAAAGCUCUGUCUUUGGGGACGAUAAUGACGGUACCCAAGGAGGAAGCCACGGCUAACUACGUGCCAGCCGCCGCCGUAA
rnacentral:rRNA from 1 species